AGGGCACCACCAGGAGUGGAGCCUGCGGCUUAAUUUGACUCAACACGGGGAAACUCACCCGGCCCGGACACCGUGAGGAUUGACAGAUUGAUAGCUCUUUCAUGAUUCGGUGGUUGGUGGUGCAUGGCCGUUCUUAGUUGGUGGAUCGAUUUGGCUGGAUUAUUCCAAUAAACAAGAAAAUUGUAUAUUACUAAAUAGGCGACUCUUGUAGUGACCCGGGCUGCUCUUCUUAGAGGACAGGCGGCGAUUCGGAACAGAAACAGAGCGGAACGGGACUGUGAUGCCCUUAGAUGUCCGGGGCCGCACGCGCGCUACACUGAAGUGAUCAGAGAGCAUUACAAACCUGCUCCGUCAGGAGUGGGGAACCUAAUGAACCUUCGUCGUGAUUGGGAUGGGGGAUUGUCAUUAUUCCCCUUGAACGAGGAAUUCGCAGGAAGUGCGAGUCCUACGCUCGCGUUGAUUACCUCCCUGCCCUUUGUACCCACCGCCCGUCGCUACGAAUGAUUGAAUGAUUUAUUG
rnacentral:rRNA from 1 species